GGGGAUGUAGCUCAGCGGGAGAGCGCUUGCUUUGCGUGUAAGAGGCCCUGGGUUCAACCCCCAGCAUCUCCA
rfam:Phaethon lepturus contig118118, whole genome shotgun sequence.